AUUGAACGCUGGCGGCGGGCUUAACACAUGCAAGUCGAGCGGAGAUGAGGUGCUUGCACCUUAUCUUAGCGGCGGACGGGUGAGUAAUGCUUAGGAAUCUGCCUAUUAGUGGGGGACAACAUUCCGAAAGGAAUGCUAAUACCGCAUACGUCCUACGGGAGAAAGCAGGGGAUCUUCGGACCUUGCGCUAAUAGAUGAGCCUAAGUCGGAUUAGCUAGUUGGUGGGGUAAAGGCCUACCAAGGCGACGAUCUGUAGCGGGUCUGAGAGGAUGAUCCGCCACACUGGGACUGAGACACGGCCAGACUCCUACGGGAGGCAGCAGUGGGGAAUAUUGGACAAUGGGGGGAACCCUGAUCCAGCCAUGCCGCGUGUGUGAAGAAGGCCUUAUGGUUGUAAAGCACUUUAAGCGAGGAGGAGGCUACUGAGACUAAUACUCUUGGAUAGUGGACGUUACUCGCAGAAUAAGCACCGGCUAACUCUGUGCCAGCCGCCGCGGUAA
rnacentral:rRNA from 1 species